GAUGAAGAACGUAGCGAAAUGCGAUAAGUAAUGUGAAUUGCAGAAUUCAGUGAAUCAUCGAAUCUUUGAACGCACAUUGCGCCCGCCAGUAUUCUGGCGGGCAUGCCUGUUCGAGCGUCAUUUCAACCAUCAAGCCCCAGGCUUGUGUUGGAGCCCUGCGGCUGCCGCAGCCUCCCAAAACCAGUGGCGGGCUCGCUAUCACACCGAGUGCAGUAGUUUACUCUUCGCUCAGGGCGUGUGGCGGGUGCUAGCCGUAAAACCCCCAACUUCUCAAGGUUGACCUCGGAUCAGGUAGGAAUACCCGCUGAACUUAAGCAUAUCAAUAGCGGAGA
rnacentral:misc_RNA from 1 species